rnacentral:misc_RNA from 1 species
GGAACCCGGUUCAGACACCACUGUAACGUUAAGAAACAAAAAGAACCCGCAAGUUAAUAAGCGAGAGAUGCAAAACCCAGAUCUUCAAAACCAUAGCAAGGCUGUGACGCGUUAAAAUCACAGAAUAAAAUAAGGGGAAAGGAAAUUUUGCUUUCUGGGAAAAAUGAGAACAGAAAGAAAAAGAUACAAAGUCAUUGAAGUUUCCGUUAGUCUUUUCUUUUAAUUUCUUAGAAAAAAAAAAC